AGAAACGCGCAUAAUAUUAGGUUUACUGGGAUUCUCCAUAAUCCUGCUUGUCUAUUUAAACACCAGAGGUGAACCACUGACACAUAACAAACGUGCAGUUGGCAUUGAAUGUCUCAACUCAUCUUUGGUUUGUGGGCCAAAUGCAUAUUGUUACAAUAACAGUGGAAACUACUCCUGCUCUUGUAUGAGUGGAUAUAAUGUUACAAAGAUGAAUGAAUCUAUCAACAACAAUAACCCAUGCACUGAUGUGGAUGAUUGUCAGCGGAUUCCAUCUGUUUGUGGUUCAAACUCCAUCUGCACAAAUACAAAUGCAGGUUACAGUUGCUCAUGUUUAGAUGGGUUUAUUUUUCCACCUCUCACCAUCACCUACAGU